rnacentral:rRNA from 1 species
UAUACGGCGAGACUGCGAAUGGCUCAUUAAAACAGUCAUAAUUUACUUGACAAUGGCCCCUACAUGGAUAACCGUGGCAAUUCUAGAGCUAAUACAUGCAUCAACGUCUGUCUCGGCAGACCGAUUUUAUUAGAUACCACACCAACCUCGGUUGUGCGGAGUCAUGGUAACUGAUCGGAUCGCUUCGGCGAUGAGUCAUCCAAGUCUCUGCCCUAUCAGCUUUCGAUGGUAGUGUAUUGGACUACCAUGGCAGUCACGGGUAACGGAAAAUUAGGGUUCGGUUCCGGAGAGGGAGCCUGAGAAACGGCUACCACAUCUAAGGAAGGCAGCAGGCGCGUAAAUUACCCAAUCCUGAUUCAGGGAGGUAGUGACAAGAAAUAACAACCCGGGGCUAGCUUUCGGGAUUGCAAUGAUCGUAAUAAAGAAUUAGAAAGAAACAAUUGGAGGGCAAGUCUGGUGUCAGAAGCCGCGGUGAUUUGUCUGGUUAAUUCCGAUAACGAACGAGACCUUAACCUGCUAACUAGUGUUACAUCUUCAUACACUUCUUAGGGGGACUGUGCGAGUCAUCGCACGGAAGUUUCAGGCAAUAACAGGUCUGUGAUGCCCUUAGACGUCCUGGGCCGCACGCGCGCUACAAUGGCACAUGCAACGAGUAUCCUGCUCCGAAAGGAAUUGGGAAUCUGCGAGGGUGUGCCGUGAUUGGGAUCGACCUUUGCAAUUGUGGGUCGUGAACGAGGAAUUCCUAGUAAGCGCAAGUCAUCAGCUUGCGCUGAUUACGUCCCUGCCCUUUGUACACACCGCCCGUCGCUCCUACCGAUUUUGAGUGAUCCGGUGAACCUUUUGGACCGAACUGGAAAGUU